UACGUAGGGUGCAAGCGUUGUCCGGAAUUAUUGGGCGUAAAGAGCUCGUAGGCGGUCUGUCGCGUCGGCUGUGAAAACCCGGGGCUCAACCCCGGGCCUGCAGUCGAUACGGGCAGACUAGAGUGUGGUAGGGGAGACUGGAAUUCCUGGUGUAGCGGUGAAAUGCGCAGAUAUCAGGAGGAACACCGGUGGCGAAGGCGGGUCUCUGGGCCAUUUCUGACGCUAAGGCACGAAAGCGUGGGGAGCGAACAGG
rnacentral:rRNA from 1 species